rnacentral:tRNA from 1 species
CAGAGAAUAGUUUAUUUUAAAAUAUUAAUUUUGGAGAUUAAAGAUAAGAGAUUUUCUUUUCUCUGA